GACGAACGCUGGCGGCAUGCCUAAUACAUGCAAGUCGAGCGAACAGAUGAAGUGCUUGCACUUCUGACGUUAGCGGCGAACGGGUGAGUAACACGUAAGGAAUCUACCUAUAAGCGGGGGAUAACAUUCGGAAACGGGUGCUAAUACCGCAUAAUAUCUUCUUCCGCAUGGAAGAAGAUUGAAAGACGGCUCUGCUGUCACUUAUAGAUGACCUUGCGGUGCAUUAGUUAGUUGGUGGGGUAAUGGCCUACCAAGACGAUGAUGCAUAGCCGACCUGAGAGGGUGAUCGGCAACAUUGGGACUGAGACACGGCCCAAACUCCUCCGGGAGGCAGCAGUAGGGAAUCUUCUGCAAUGGGCGAAAGCCUGACGGAGCAAUGCCGCGUGAGUGAAGAAGGCCUUCGGGUCGUAAAACUCUGUUAUAAGAGAAGAACAAAUUGUAGAGUAACUGCUACAGUCUUGACGGUAUCUUAUCAGAAAGCCACGGCUAACUACGUGCCAGCCGCCGCGGUAA
rnacentral:rRNA from 1 species